UGUAAUUGAUAAUUUAUUAUUAUUGAUAGUGUAAGAUGGCAUGCCCAUGGAUGUAGCCUUAUGUGGAAAAGGUAAACUACGUAAAUAUUGGUGUUUUGUGUGAUUGCUUUGUUUCUUUGCAAUUUACACGCUUCCGUGGUGCACAACAAUUUAUUUUUCUCUCAAACCUCCUGGAAAUAAUAAAGAAAAAGAAAAGCUUUGAGCUUGAGCAUUCUUUGUCAUUUCUUCCACUUGUAGGUCAAUGGCAGUCCAACGAGCCCCCAUCCCUUUAUGUAUUUUUUAAUUGUAGCACAGUGAACUUUCUGUUAUAGAGCAGUAUGUGGUAAGGGUUCUUUCCAAAAAUUUUUACCAAUUUUAUAUCCAUUGAUUUUGAUCUUGAUCCCAGCAGUAUCUUCUACGUUAGCAUAUCUGCAUUUUUCAGUACUUUUACUUCUUUGUUAUUAUUAUUCCUUUUGUUUUUUCUAUUCAUUUAUUACUUGAUGAGCACAUCAAUUUUGGUCUCCCAAACUCAAAUCCUCUGUAUUGGUUAGUUAUAAACAAAAUAAGUUCUGCUCAUCCUUUCCAUAAUCACAUACAAGUUGAGUAAGUCUAGAUGAUGUUUGAGCAGAUGGAUGUAAUAUGCAUGAGGUGGUAGACUAAUGGUUGCAUUAGAUAGUCUAUGAGUUGAGAUGAUAAGGAACAUUUGUUAAAGUAUAAAUUUGCAGGCAAACAUAUUUGCAGAUCUUGGUUUCUAGCCUUAACUCAAAAUUUCAAAAAUUAUUGGCUUUGACCUUUUUUUGUCUAAAUGCUGAUCUGUAUACUCUUCUCAUUAGAAGCUUGAUGGAG
rnacentral:misc_RNA from 1 species